rnacentral:rRNA from 1 species
GAUGAACGCUGGCGGCGUGCCUAAUACAUGCAAGUCGAGCGAACAGAUGAGGAGCUUGCUCCUCUGACGUUAGCGGCGGACGGGUGAGUAACACGUGGAUAACCUACCUAUAAGACUGGGAUAACUUCGGGAAACCGGAGCUAAUACCGGAUAAUAUAUUGAACCGCAUGGUUCAAUAGUGAAAGACGGUUUUGCUGUCACUUAUAGAUGGAUCCGCGCCGCAUUAGCUAGUUGGUAUGGUAACGGCUUACCAAGGCAACGAUGCGUAGCCGACCUGAGAGGGUGAUCGGCCACACUGGAACUGAGACACGGUCCAGACUCCUACGGGAGGCAGCAGUAGGGAAUCUUCCGCAAUGGGCGAAAGCCUGACGGAGCAACGCCGCGUGAGUGAUGAAGGUCUUCGGAUCGUAAAACUCUGUUAUUAGGGAAGAACAAAUGUGUAAGUAACUAUGCACGUCUUGACGGUACCUAAUCAGAAAGCCACGGCUAACUACGU